GAUGCAAAAACAGCUUUUGAUAAAAUUCAACUUUCAUGUGUGUUAAAAACUCUCAAUAAACCAGGUAUUGAAGGAACAUACCUCAAAAUAAUAAGAGCCACAUGUGACAAACCCACAGCCAGCAUCAUACUGAAUGGACAAAAGCUGAAAGCAUUCCCCUUAAAAAUUGGCACAAGAUAAAGAUGCCCUCUCUCCCCACUCCCAUUCAGCAUAGCUUUGAGGGUGUUCUUUGCUGUUGGGUUUCUAAUUCUUUUAAUUGUGAUGUUGGGUAGUUAACUUGAGAUCUCAAUUUUGUCUUUGAGAUGGAGUGUUGUUCUCUCAACCAGGCUGGAGUGCAGUGGUGUGAUAUGGGCUCACUGCAACAUUUAUCUCCUGGGUUCAAGCAGUUCUCCUGCCUCAGCCUCCUGAGUACCUGGGAUUACAGAUGAAGAAGAUGAGACUCAGAGCAAUACAUAAGUUGCCCAAGGUCAGAGAGCAAUGACCAUAUCAGAGCACAGUGUACUCCUCUUGCCGUAUUCAGAGGAUUUGCCUAUGGGCAGCAACAUUAUUCUCUCGUUCUCUGGAUAUUAGGAACAAUAUCACAGGACCGGCGGACAGCCCCAGUCAUAUCGUGAGUAAUGUCAUCUGUAAUCCCUUAGUUAUUAGAAAAAAUAUCACGGGGGUCUUGUGUGCUUUAUCAGAUACUUGGAGUAAUAUCUUUUCCGUUUUUGGAUAUUAGACACGAUACUACAGUGGUGGUGUACACUUCCUGCGAUAUUCAGGGUAUAAUAAUCUUUUGUCCCCAGGAUAUUAGGUAGUACAUUAAAGAAGCCUUGUACUUUGCCUGUGAUAUUGGAACAAUCACAGAGUGAACACUUGCUUUCAAAAUGAGAGUAAUACCUACUUAAAAUAUGAUGGAUAAUAUCAAAAAAUGGACACACAUGGGUGUAUACCCACUUUGAUAUAGAAAGAAAUUUUUAUCUAAUAUACUAAAAAUCAUAUAUCACAAUAUACUCAUAAUGUGUACACUUAUUGAGAUGUUACAAUCAAUGUGCAGAAUACAUACCAUAUGUACAUAGAGUGUUAUGUACAUAUGUGUACACAAUACAGAUGUACCAAAAACGUACAUAAUCUGUACAAUAUGUGCAAUUACAGGUACAUAAUGUGUACACAAUAGGUAUGUACGAAAUGUGUGCAAUAUGUACAUUUAUUGUAAUAUUACAAUGAUAUCAUAUAAUCACAACAGCAUAUAAAAUCACAAUACACAAGUAAUACAUAAUAUAAAUGUACAUAUUGCACACAUCGUGUACAUUUACAUUUAUUGUGGUAUCACGGUGUGUACACAUGCACAUCAUGUACCCAUUAUGUACACAUGUACAAAAUAUGCACAUGUACAUAUGUGUGAACAGUAUGUACAUUUGCACACUAUGUACACAUAAAUACAUAUAAUGUUGACAUGUACAUUUUGUACAUGAGUACCUAAUAUGCACAAUAUGUACACGUAUAAACUAUGUACACACCUGGGUGUACACCCACUUUGGUCAAUGGAGUAAUUUCUAAUAUGGUAAAAAUUAUAUUUUAGAAUGUACUCAUAAUGUGUACAUUUAUUGGCAUAUCACAAGAAAUGUAUAAAAUAGGUACAGUCUGUACAUUUACUCUGCUGUGCAUAGGUGUACACAAUACACAUGUAGAAAAAGUGUACAUAAUCUGUAAAAUAUGUACCUAUAUAUUUCUAUAUUGUGUACACAAUACAUAGGUAUAUAAUGUGUACACUAUGCACAUUCCUUAAAAUAUUAGUGAUAAAAUAUAUUUAAUCACAAUAAGAUAUAUAAUCACAGUAAUAUAUAUUGUCUAAUAUUACAAAAAAGUACAUAUUGUACACAUUAGGUAUGCAUUAGGUACAUAUGUAUUUUGCACAUAUUAUGUAAAUAUAAAUUUAUCGUGAUAACACCAUAUGUACGCAUGUACAUAUAUAUGCCCGAUAUUAAAACUAUUUACACAUGUAGUAAUAGGUGCAAACUAUGUACCGAUGCACAGCACGCUAUUACCAAAGCCCCCCUUAUAGCAGCCCCCAGGCCCAGCCUGGCUGCUUAGAGACCCCCUGGCAAUUGGGCUGUGCCCACAAACACUGCUCGAAUGCCUGUAGCAGCCCCCAUGCCCACCCUGGCUGCUUAGGGACCCCCUGACUAGGUGUCUGUGCCCACAGCCCAUGCCAGAGUGCCCGUAGCAGCCCCCAGGCCAACCAUGGCUGCUCAGGGACCCCUGGCUGGGUCGAUGUGCUCACAGACCCCACCAAAAAGCCCAGAGCAGCCCCCAGGCCCACCCUGGCUGCUUAGGGGUCCCCUCGCUUGUGGGCUCUGCCCACAGCUGCUGAGGCCCAGCUAUUUUGCAAAUCAGGUGUAAUAUGAUACUGGCAACCAUAUUAUAUAAAAAUGAUAAUCUUAUUCUGUUUUUUUGUAUAUUAGGCAAUAGCUCCAGUUACACCUCUGCCAUAUUGACAAAAAUGUCAUCCUCACCCCCAUUGACAUUAGAAUGAAAAUCAUAGGGGAGUUUCAUUCCUUGCAAUGCUUAAUUCAAUGUAAUUGUUUUCUCGCUUACAUUAGUGACCAUAUCAAAGCAUGGUGUACACCUCUUGCCGUAUUAAGAGUAUUUCCCUAUGGGCAGCAACAUUUUCCUCUCCUUCUCUGGAUAUUAGGAACAAUAUUCCAGGACCAGAGUACAGCCCCAGUCACGUCGUGGGUAAUGUCAUCUGUAAUUCUCUAGUUAUUAGAAACAAUAUCACGGGGGGCUUGUGUGCUUUCUGAGAUAUUUGGAGUAAUAUCCUUUCCGUUUUUGAACAUUAGAAACAAUACUACAGUGGUGGUGUACACUUCCUGCGAUAUUCAGGGUAUGGUCAUCCUUUGUCCUCAGGAUAUUAUUAACUACAUCACAGACGAGUUUUAGUUUGCCUUGAUAUUGGAGCAAUCCGAGAGUGUAAACCUGCUUUCACAAUGAGAGAAAUACCUACUCAGGAUAUGAUGGAUAAUAUCACAAAAUGGACACACAUAAGUGUAUACCCACUUUGAUAUUGAAAGUAAUUUUUAUCUAACAUACUAAAAAUCAUAUCCCAGAAUAUACUUAUAAUGUGUACUCUUACUGAAAUAUUACAAACAAUGCACAGAAUAUGUACCAUAUGUACGUUGACUGUGAUGUACAUAUGUGUGCACCAUACAGAUGUACAAUAAAUAUACAUAAUCUGUACAAUAUGUACAUUUAUGUGUACAUAAUAUGUACACAAUAGGUAUGUCCAUAAUGUGUACAAUAUGUACAUUUGUAAUAUCACAAUGAUAUCAGAACAGCAUAUACAAUCACAAUACACAUGUAAUACAUAAUAUAAAUGUACGUAUUUCACACAUUAUGUACAUUUCCAUUUAUUGUGGUAUGACGAUGUGUUUACAUGUACAGCAUGGACCCAUUAUGUACGGAUGUACAAUAAAUUCAGGUGUAGAUAUAUGUACAUAGUAUGUACAUAUGUACGCUCUGUACCCAUACAUACAUAUAAUGUAGAUAUUUACCUUCUGUACACAAGUACAUAAUAUGCACAGUAUGUACAUGUACAAAGUAUGUGCACACAUAAGUUUACACCCACUUUGGUAACCAGAGUAAUUUCUAUCUUAUAUUCUAAAUGUAAUAUCACAGAAUGUACUCAUAAUGUGUACAUUUAUUGGCAUAUCACAAUAAAUGUAUAAAGUAAGUAAGAUCUGUACAUUUACUCUGUGUACCCAAUACACAAGUAAAUAAAAUGUACAUAACCUGUAAAAUAUGUUUCUUUCUAUUUCUAUAAUCUGUGCACAAUGCAUAGGUACAUAAUGUGUAUAAUAUGUACAUUUGUAAUGUCACAAUGAUAUCAUAUCACAACAGCAUAUAUAAUCACA